ensembl:lincRNA
GACUCCCGUACUGGCUGAGCAGAAGCAUGGAGGCUGAGGCCGCCCGCGGAGCCACAGGUCACACUUGAAACUUCAUCUCUUUGUUUUUGCACGAUGUACCAUGAUGAACCUCAACAUAAAAUACUGGGUUUGGUUAAUCCCCAGGACACAAAGACAGUUGUGGCCGUUUACUUAAAGGAAUCCUGGUGGUCCAUCGAAGACGUCCUAAGAACUUCAGAUCCCACACGGGAAGGGCUCAUGAAGGCAGCCUCUGUGGUGCUGGUACCAGCGCAUGCUACCUGCUGCCUGUCUUUGACACCGUGUUUGUGAGGAGGAAGAGCCGUUGCCAAGGCCUGGGGACAGCCAUGCUGAGGGACUUCUGUGACACCUUUCAAGGAGACGAAGCUCUGGGUAUCAGUUGUCCGAUCUCUCCUGCAAUGUACAGAGUCCUCAGGCAGUUCCUGUUGACCUGUCCAGGCGAGAGA